UGCUAGAAUUGAACACAUUCGUAACCAAGUGGAGAGUGUAGUUAUGGGAAAUGGGUGUGAGUGAAAUCAUGAAUUGUGUGGAUGGGAUACAAAUUAUCCAAAACACGUGGAUGGCUAAGAUGAUCCGAUUGUAGGAUCUGGCUAUGAUUUAUUUGUUUCUCUACAAGCAGGUGUUGGGGGAGGAAUAGGAAUAGGAAUAGGAAGCAUGGACCCUGCACAGAUGGCAAUCCCUCUUCUCGCUAUAGCUACGGCGGCUGCCUUUACCUUCUAUGCAAUCAGAGAGAAAUCCAUGGAUGAUGUUGAUAUGUCUAACAUAGAGAAGCAACAAUAUAAUUCAUCUUUUAGUGGUAAGAAAAAGGGAAGAAAAAGAGUACAAGAUUGACAUUAAAAUGAUUGCAAAUGAAGACUUCAUUUGGAACUACAAGCAUACAAGAAAGUAAUAGUAUAGCUACUUAUGUGAACCUCAAAUGUGUUUCUAUGUUUUGAUGUUAAGCAUUGAAUUAAUUUGGAAUUAUGAAAUUAUUAUUUUUUGUUGAAAUUUGUAAUUAUAACAUGGCACCAUGCAAAGUUAUAUCCCCCACCUCAACUUAUACUUUAAAUUUUUCCUCAACAUAACUUCUCCAACAUAGGAUUUUAUGGAA